rnacentral:rRNA from 1 species
GCGGCGAGUGAAGCGGCAAAAGCUCAAAUUUGAAAUCUGGCACUUUCAGUGUCCGAGUUGUAAUUUGAAGAAGGUAUCUUUGGGUCUGGCUCUUGUCUAUGUUUCUUGGAACAGAACGUCACAGAGGGUGAGAAUCCCGUGCGAUGAGAUGUCCCAGACCUAUGUAAAGUUCCUUCGAAGAGUCGAGUUGUUUGGGAAUGCAGCUCUAAGUGGGUGGUAAAUUCCAUCUAAAGCUAAAUAUUGGCGAGAGACCGAUAGCGAACAAGUACAGUGAUGGAAAGAUGAAAAGAACUUUGAAAAGAGAGUGAAAAAGUACGUGAAAUUGUUGAAAGGGAAGGGCUUGAGAUCAGACUUGGUAUUUUGUAUGUUACUCUCUCGGGGGUGGCCUCUACAGUUUACCGGGCCAGCAUCAGUUUGAGCGGUAGGAUAAGUGCAAAGAAAUGUGGCACUGCUUCGGUAGUGUGUUAUAGUCUUUGUCGAUACUGCCAGCUUAGACUGAGGACUGCGGCUUCGGCCUAGGAUGUUGGCAUAAUGAUCUUAAGUCGCCCGUCUUG